AAGCUAGUAGCUCAGCGGUAAAGAGCCUAUAUUUCCGAAAUAUAGCGUCGAGGGUUCAAAUCCCUUCUAGCUUA
rnacentral:tRNA from 2 species